GGAGAGUGUUGUAUCUUCAGUGACAUCAUUCCACCUAUUAAGAAGGAUAAUUGGAGCUUCUAGGGAUAAUCAGCUUCUGAAAGAAGUUUAAAGUGGGAAUUAUGCUUUGCCAAGGAACCUCUCCUCUUGAAAGAGCUGCCUACCAGGACUCCUGCCCACUGAAAAGAGACCUUCUUCCCAGUCAUUUCUCUUCCAGGACCUUAUGACUAAGAACUUUGCCUUCCUAGCAGAGCUUCUCAAUGCCAACAGAAUAAACUUCCCUUUUGCCAUUCAAA